UGUAGGUACACUCACAUAGAGGCAGAGUGCCCCUUCAUGACCUAUGAGGACCUACUGAGCAGGCUGGAGAUCUGGUGUGUGAUGUGGUGGACAGAGUCCUGAAGUCUCCUGCUGCUUCUCUACUCUACCAAGUCAACCCUGACUUCAAGCCCCCUAAGAGGCCCUUCAAGAGGAUCAACUACUCUGAUGCCAUCAUCUGGCUUAAGGAG